rnacentral:rRNA from 1 species
GAUGAACGCUAGCUACAGGCUUAACACAUGCAAGUCGAGGGGCAGCAUGGUCUUAGCUUGCUAAGGCCGAUGGCGACCGGCGCACGGGUGAGUAACACGUAUCCAACCUGCCGUCUACUCUUGGACAGCCUUCUGAAAGGAAGAUUAAUACAAGAUGGCAUCAUGAGUCCGCAUGUUCACAUGAUUAAAGGUAUUCCGGUAGACGAUGGGGAUGCGUUCCAUUAGAUAGUAGGCGGGGUAACGGCCCACCUAGUCUUCGAUGGAUAGGGGUUCUGAGAGGAAGGUCCCCCACAUUGGAACUGAGACACGGUCCAAACUCCUACGGGAGGCAGCAGUGAGGAAUAUUGGUCAAUGGGCGAGAGCCUGAACCAGCCAAGUAGCGUGAAGGAUGACUGCCCUAUGGGUUGUAAACUUCUUUUAUAAAGGAAUAAAGUCGGGUAUGGAUACCCGUUUGCAUGUACUUUAUGAAUAAGGAUCGGCUAACUCCGUGCCAGCAGCCGCGGUAAUACGGAGGAUCCGAGCGUUAUCCGGAUUUAUUGGGUUUAAAGGGAGCGUAGAUGGAUGUUUAAGUCAGUUGUGAAAGUUUGCGGCUCAACCGUAAAAUUGCAGUUGAUACUGGAUAUCUUGAGUGCAGUUGAGGCAGGCGGAAUUCGUGGUGUAGCGGUGAAAUGCUUAGAUAUCACGAAGAACUCCGAUUGCGAAGGCAGCCUGCUAAGCUGCAACUGACAUUGAGGCUCGAAAGUGUGGGUAUCAAACAGGAUUAGAUACCCUGGUAGUCCACACGGUAAACGAUGAAUACUCGCUGUUUGCGAUAUACAGCAAGCGGCCAAGCGAAAGCGUUAAGUAUUCCACCUGGGGAGUACGCCGGCAACGGUGAAACUCAAAGGAAUUGACGGGGGCCCGCACAAGCGGAGGAACAUGUGGUUUAAUUCGAUGAUACGCGAGGAACCUUACCCGGGCUUAAAUUGCAGAUGAAUUACGGUGAAAGCCGUAAGCCGCAAGGCAUCUGUGAAGGUGCUGCAUGGUUGUCGUCAGCUCGUGCCGUGAGGUGUCGGCUUAAGUGCCAUAACGAGCGCAACCCUUGUUGUCAGUUACUAACAGGUUCCGCUGAGGACUCUGACAAGACUGCCAUCGUAAGAUGUGAGGAAGGUGGGGAUGACGUCAAAUCAGCACGGCCCUUACGUCCGGGGCUACACACGUGUUACAAUGGGGGGUACAGAGGGCCGCUACCACGCGAGUGGAUGCCAAUCCCCAAAACCUCUCUCAGUUCGGACUGGAGUCUGCAACCCGACUCCACGAAGCUGGAUUCGCUAGUAAUCGCGCAUCAGCCACGGCGCGGUGAAUACGUUCCCGGGCCUUGUACACACCGCCCGUCAAGCCAUGGGAGCCGGGGGUACCUGAAGUGCGUAACCGCGAGGAGCGCCCUAGGGUA